rnacentral:lncRNA from 1 species
CAUCUGGGCAGGCACAAGUGCUAAAAAUCUGCAAAGUCAUAGUGUGGGAUGAAUGUACUAUGGCUCAUAAGAAAUCCCUUGAAGCCCUUGACAGAACUCUACAAGAUCUCAGAGAAAACAAUGAACUGAUGGGAGGAGCUCUGGUCCUUUUAACUGGUGACUUUCGUCAAACGCUUCCCGUCAUUCCAAAGUCGACGCCGGCAGAUGAGCUUAAUGCUUGCCUCAAGGCUUCCGUUCUUUGGAGACAUGUGAAGAAAAUGACAUUGCAAACUAAUCUGAGGGUCCAACUUCAAGGAGAUGCAAAUGCACAACCUUUUGCAGAGAAGCUCCUUCAAAUCGGUGAAGGUACUUUUCCCACUGAUUUGACCUUAGGUGAAAUCCACUUUCCACAUGACUUCUGUACGAUUGUGACAUCAGUUGGUGAACUUACAGAUAAGGUUUAUCCAAACAUUUCUGAAAAUUUCAAACAACACUCCUGGUUGUGUGAAAGAGCCAUCCUCGCGGCUAAGAAUGAUGCGGUCAAUGAAAUCAACAAGCACGUUCAAGACAUGAUUCCAGGGUCCAUGACAGAAUACAAAUCCAUCGAUACAGUAGUGGAUGCUGAUGAAGCUGUGAAUUAUCCAACCGAGUUCCUCAACUCCCUUAAUCCACCUGGGAUGCCAUCUCACCGCCUGCCACUUAAAGUAGGAUCGCCCAUCAUGCUGCUUCGAAACCUCGAACCACCAAGGUUAUGCAAUGGCACCCGGCUGUGCAUCAAAACACUGCUGCCCAACGUCAUAGAAGCCACAAUACUGACUGGGAAGGGGCAGGGUGAGGAUGUGUUCAUCCCUCGCAUUCCCCUGAUCCCAUCCGAUUUGCCCUUUCGUUUUAAGAGACUGCAGUUCCCCGUGAGGCUGGCAUUCGGAAUCACCAUCAACAAGGCACAGGGCCAGUCAAUCAAAUACUGUGGGAUUAACUUGCAGUCACCGUGCUUUUCCCAUGGACAGUUAUAUGUGGCAUGUUCUAGAGUAGGUUCCCCAAAUAAUUUGUUUGUUUAUG